UACGAAGGUGGCAAGCGUUGUUCGGAUUUACUGGGCGUAAAGGGCGCGUAGGCGGCGUGGUAAGUCACUUGUGAAAUCUCUGAGCUUAACUCAGAACGGCCAAGUGAUACUGCUGUGCUAGAGUGCAGAAGGGGCAAUCGGAAUUCUUGGUGUAGCGGUGAAAUGCGUAGAUAUCAAGAGGAACACCUGAGGUGAAGACGGGUUGCUGGGCUGACACUGACGCUGAUGCGCGAAAGCUAGGGGAGCAAACGGG
rnacentral:rRNA from 1 species